GAUGAAGAACGUAGCGAAAUGCGAUACUUGGUGUGAAUUGCAGAAUCCCGUGAACCAUCGAGUCUUUGAACGCAAGUUGCGCCCGAAGCCAUUAGGCCGAGGGCACGCCUGCCUGGGCGUCACACGUCGUUGCCCCCCCAUCUACUCCUUCGGGAUUGCGGGGGGCGGAUGCUGGCCUCCCGUGCGCCUCGCCGCGCGGUUGGCAUAAAUGCCAAGUCCUCGGCGACGCACGCCACGACAAUCGGUGGUUGCGAAACCUCGGUUGCCCGUCGUGUGCGGUCGUCGCGCAUCGAGGGCUCGAAAAAAUUGCCGGGUUCCGGCUCGGCUUUCAACGCGACCCCAGGUCAGGCGGGGUUACCCGCUGAAUUUAAGCAUAUCAAUAAGCGGAGGA
rnacentral:misc_RNA from 1 species